CUUCAUUGCUGUUCGAUGUAAUUCUGUCUUAUGGAACCAGUUACAGGUUGUUAAACUGUGCCUCAAUGAGUUUUUCCAAUGUAACUCUGCUGUCUCAAAGUAAGGAAAACACUUGCUGUUCGGUGAAAAAGGAAACUGUAUAUGCCUGAAACCUCAAUCAUCAUUUCUUCGUCGGAUCCACAUAAAAUGGCAAAAGCACACAAAAUAUUAUGUGAAAAUUUGGGUUUCAAGUAACUUCCACUUCGACUGUCCAAUGUACUUUUCAUGCUUCCGACAACAGCACACUGCUACUGUUGAAUUGGAUGUUGGUUGAAAUGGAGAAACAUCGGCAAGAGAGUCACAGGAACCAUCAGAAGUCAUGGAUUGAAGUUUGAUUCCAACAUCGCACUUCACCAUUAGAGUUGAGUUCUUCACCAUGAUUAUCACCAUCACCAUCAACUUCAACAUCAACAUCAGCAUCAAAAUCUUUGAUUAUGUCACACGAAUCCUCCAACAGGCAAUCAAUAAUUAACUGGUCAUUUGGAUAGUCAUCAUCGGCAAAAUUGUCAAAUUCGUCUUGUAAAUUUUCAUCUGGCAACUUUUCAUCAAUCCUGGUUAUUUUAUCUUGUUUGACAUCAGCAGUGAAAGGGAUUGGUGACAGACCGACUGGAUUCAAUUGGGUCAAUAGAGAUUCAUAAGGUCCUUCAAUAUCUGUCAAAGGGGAAUAAUUAAUUUCAUCUAAAGGUGCAUACUCAUUGGAAAUAACUUCUGGAUACAUUUGCAGCAAAAACGGUCAGAAUUACAAUCGAAGGAAGAACCAACGAAUGCUAUGAUAAUGAACAAGAAUGGUCAAAGACUCGUGAUCUUCAAAGAAAAAAUAAAUUGGAAAAGGCACAAAAAGGACACGAAUAGUUUGAAUAAGCUUGAAAUUGUUGGUAAAUUGGAUCAAGUCAAGGUGCGCACAUUGGGAAAGACAGAUUAGCCUUUUGGCUGGAAUUAAAGUUAUUAGAAUUACUUCUAUUUAGAUUUUUGGCGAAAGCUUGAUUAAUUUCCGCGACCAUUUAUGAAAACUCUAACUGGCAUGUUUCAGGAAUGUUAUGCACAAACGCAUCCACGGAAAAGCAAAAUUAGCAAGUUAAGCUUGGCAAGAAUGUAAAUUAUUAGCUACAAAAAGACGUGAAUGGAGGUUCAGAAAGUAAAGAGUUCGAUUGAAAAUCAGAAAAAGGAAAAUCAAACUCAGAAUGUUUACCCAGAAACGCAUUUCGUGUCGCAUUCUGCCAGUUCACACGUAAUAACCAUUUUUCCAGAGUCGGAAGAUAACAAACAUGAGGUUAACUGUCAAGAUGACCCUUACAAACUUCAAUCCAUGACUGCUGAUGCUUCCUGUGAUUCUCUCGCCGAUGUUUCAGAAUCUUAGUUGUUGACUACUUAUACACACCAUUGGACAGUCGAAGUGGAAGUUACUUGAAACCCAAAUUUUCACAUAAUAUUCUGUGUGCUUUUGCCAUUUUGUGUGGAUCCGAUGAAGAAAUGAUGAUUGAGGUUUCAGGCAUAUACAGUUUCCUAUGCAAGUGUUUUCCUUACUUUGAGACAGCAGAGUUACAUUGGAAAAACUCAUUGAGGCACAGUUUAACAACCUGUAACUGGUUCCAUAAGACAGAAUUACAUCGAACAGCAAUGAAGGGAUACAAAUGGACAAUCAAUUGGAACCAUAAAACAUGUUUAGCCUGGGAAAUCAGCAAACAAUGUAUUAAAGAUGUAACAAGCUUAAAUCUGUGUCUCUCUGAUCCAGGUAAGAUUGAGAAAACAUUUAGAUUGUUGAAGGUUGAAACAACGAUUUAAGUUAAUACGAUAAACACAUGGAAUGAUCAAAGGAGUCAAAGCUAAAGGAAUCAGUGAUACAAAUUAGGAUUGUACAAAUUAAUGUGCUACAACAAACCAAGAAAUCUAAGAUAAUCAUAAGAUUGAAUCUAUUUUUUGGACAACAGAUUAAUACCAGGCUAAUUCCAAUUCUGUGGAACAUGUUCACCAAGUCCACAUGAUUUCAUCCUUAUUUACACUUUCAACUGAUUAAUCAUAACAAGUCAACACUCAUCACAUUAAAUCGCCAUCAUUCAAUCAAAACUGAAAA